CCUACGGGUGGCAGCAGUGAGGAAUAUUGGUCAAUGGACGCAAGUCUGAACCAGCCAUGCCGCGUGCAGGAAGACGGCUCUAUGAGUUGUAAACUGCUUUUGUACGAGGGUAAACGCAGAUACGCGUAUCUGUCUGAAAGUAUCGUACGAAUAAGGAUCGGCUAACUCCGUGCCAGCAGCCGCGGUAAUACAGAGGAUUCAAGCGUUAUCCGGAUUUAUUGGGUUUAAAGGGUGCGUAGGCGGUCGGAUAAGUUAGAGGUGAAAUCCCGAGGCUCAACUUCGGAAUUGCCUCUGAUACUGUUAGGCUAGAGAGUAGUAGAGGUAGGUGGAAUGUAUGGUGUAGCGGUGAAAUGCUUAGAGAUCAUACAGAACACCGAUUGCGAAGGCAGCUUACCAAGCUGCUUCUGACGUUGAGGCACGAAAGCGUGGGGAGCAAACAGGAUUAGAUACCCCAGUAGUC
rnacentral:rRNA from 1 species